UACGUAGGUGGCAAGCGUUAUCAGGAAUUAUUGGGCGUAAAGCGUGCGCAGGCGGUUUCUUAAGUCUGACGUGAAAGCCCACGGCUCAAACGUGGAGGGUCAUUGGAAACUGGGGAACUUGAGUGCAGAAGAGAAAAGCGGAAUUCCACGUGUAGCGGUGAAAUGCGUAGAGAUGUGGAGGAACACCGGUGGCGAAGGCGGCGGCCUGGUCCAUUACUGACGCUGAGGCGCGACAGCGUGGGGAGCAAACAGG
rnacentral:rRNA from 1 species